GCCUUAUCCCCAAAUCGCUUCUUCUCUGCUGAUUCCAUACCGCCUCCUCUCCCUGGCCGAUCCAUGGUGCUCGUCUCUAGCUCAUGUCUUGCCGCCGGCCGAGCCCCUCCCCAGCGCCCUUGGAGCCGGCGUCCUCUGCCCUCAUCUCAUUCCCCGACGCCGCCCUCUCCCCCUCAGUGCUCUGCUGGUCGGCGUCUUCUCCCUGCCCGACGUUUCUAGCGCCAUGGCCGCCGCGCCUUGGGUCGCCUGCUCCACUGCGCCGAUCCGCCCAUCUCCCUGCUGCCGCUCUCCCAUGGCGCGUCCCUGCAUCUUGCUUCAGCUCGCUCUGCCAUCUCCCUUGGCGCCCUAGCCCCAACGCUGAGCUCCCUACCCGGCCGCGCCCCUGGUGGUUGAGCUCGCCGAGCUUCCUUUUCUAUCGCUCGUCCUCGCCCAUUCGGCGCCCUCAUCUCAAGCCAGUCCAGCCUCUCUAAUCGCCACUCUCCCCUAUCCCCUUGCUGUUAGCACAUGGCGAGCUAACCCCAUGUGCCAGUAGAGUUCGUCAUUCCCUAAGCAGCACCUCCCUCCAUGGAUGCCUCGUUGUCGACUUGUGCAGUUCAUAUUUAUCGGUGAGGUCCCUUUUGUCUUGUGUUACUUAUCUCUUUAAUUGAUACAUGUGUGCUUAUGUGUGAGAUGUGAAGGGGAAAUCCCAGGAUUUGGUGGAGAAGAAGCACAGUUCAAUUUGACGCCCGCCAGGUGUUCGACGAAAUGUUCGAAUUGGGUUUCGUCGUUGAUUUUGACGCCUGCCAGGUGUUCAUCUCAAACUACAAUCACCGUUGAAAAUCCGAGGCGACGGGAAAGUUAGGUGGCAUCACCAGUGAUGGCGUUCGAUCCUUGAAAUGUACAUUAUGUGAUAAGAGUAAGCGUCACUAGAGAAUGGGAAUUCCAAGGCGCAACAAAUGAUGGUCCUCUCCAUCAUGUCAACAUGAUCAUAUCCGAUGAACCGAAAAACAAGAAUCGUGAGUGCAAUGGCAAAUGGAAGGUGAAGGCCCUUUUGAUUGACAACUUAGGAAAAGAUGGAAUGGAACUCAAAUUUUGGUGGUCGGUCAAGUGUGUAGAGUUGAAAUCAUAUAUACUUAGUUAGGCUCAAAUUUAGCGCAAUUCAGUUAGUAUUUUAGUUUGGAUUUAGAGUACACUUAUGUAUGAGUUAUUUAGCAAUGCUUAUUUGUGAGAUAUUGAAUGAUACUUAUCUACAUUAUAUUAACUAUAGUGUUGUU